rnacentral:rRNA from 1 species
AGGGCACCACCAGGAGUGGAGCCUGCGGCUUAAUUUGACUCAACACGGGAAAACUCACCCGGCCCGGACACUGGAAGGAUUGACAGAUUGAGAGCUCUUUCUUGAUUCAGUGGGUGGUGGUGCAUGGCCGUUCUUAGUUGGUUGAGCGAUUUGUCUGGUUAAUUCCGAUAACGAACGAGACUCUAGCCUACUAAAUAGAUCGUCGGCUUACAAACGCCGAUGAGACUUCUUAGAGGGACAGGCGGCGAUUCAGCCGCACGAAACAGAGCAAUAACAGGUCUGUGAUGCCCUUAGAUGUCCGGGGCCGCACGCGCGCUACACUGAAGUGAUCAGCGUGCAUUUUCAGCCUACUCUGCCAAGAGUGGGAAACCCAAUGAACCUUCUUCGUGAUUGGGAUAGGGGAUUGUAAUUAUUCCCCUUGAACGAGGAAUUCCCAGUAAGCGCGAGUCAUAAGCUCGCGUUGAUUACGUCCCUGCCCUUUGUACACACCGCCCGUCGCUACUACCGAUUGAAUGUUUU